rnacentral:rRNA from 1 species
GGUUCAAUUCGAUGGUACGCGAGGAACCUUACCUGGGCUAGAAUGCGAGUGACCGGUCCUGAAAGGGAUCUUCCCCGCAAGGGGCACAAAGCAAGGUGCUGCAUGGCUGUCGUCAGCUCGUGCCGUGAGGUGUUGGGUUAAGUCCCGCAACGAGCGCAACCCCCAUCACUAGUUGCCAUCGGGUAAUGCCGGGGACUCUAGUGAAACUGCCUGCGUAAGCAGUGA